GGAGCUGGCGGCGUGCCUAUACAUGCAGUCGAGCGGACGAAUCGAAAGCUUGCUUUUGAUUCGUUAGCGGCGGACGGGUGAGUAACACGUGGGCAACCUGCCCUGUAGACGGGGAUAACACCGAGAAAUCGGUGCUAAUACCGGAUAACACGGAAUGUCGCAUGACGUUUCGUUGAAAGGCGGCGCAAGCUGUCGCUACAGGAUGGGCCCGCGGCGCAUUAGCUAGUUGGUGAGGUAACGGCUCACCAAGGCGACGAUGCGUAGCCGACCUGAGAGGGUGAUCGGCCACACUGGGACUGAGACACGGCCCAGACUCCUACGGGAGGCAGCAGUAGGGAAUCUUCCGCAAUGGACGAAAGUCUGACGGAGCAACGCCGCGUGAGCGAAGAAGGCCUUCGGGUCGUAAAGCUCUGUUGUUAGGGAAGAACAAGUAGCGCAGUAACUGGCGUUACCUUGACGGUACCUAACGAGAAAGCCACGGCUAACUACGUGCCAGCAGCCGCGGUAAUACGUAGGUGGCAAGCGUUGUCCGGAAUUAUUGGGCGUAAAGCGCGCGCAGGCGGUUCCUUAAGUCUGAUGUGAAAGCCCACGGCUCAACCGUGGAGGGUCAUUGGAAACUGGGGGGACUUGAGUGCAGAAGAGGAGAGCGGAAUUCCACGUGUAGCGGUGAAAUGCGUAGAGAUGUGGAGGAACACCAGUGGCGAAGGCGGCUCUCUGGUCUGUAACUGACGCUGAGGCGCGAAAGCGUGGGGAGCAAACAGGAUUAGAUACCCUGAUAGUCCACGCCGUAAACGAUGAGUGCUAAGUGUUAGAGGGUAUCCACCCUUUAGUGCUGUAGCUAACGCAUUAAGCACUCCGCCUGGGGGAGUACGCUCGCAGAGUGAAACUCAAAGGAAUUGACGGGGGCCCGCACAAGCGGUGGAGCAUGUGGUUUAAUUCGAAGCAACGCGAAGAACCUUACCAGGUCUUGGACAUCCCCUGACAACCCGAGAGAUCGGGCGUUCCUCCUUCGGGGGGACAGAGUGACAGGUGGUGCAUGGUUGUCGUCCGCUCGUGUCAGUGGAUGGUUAGGUAAGUCCCGCAACGGAGCGCAACCCUCGAACUAGUGGCCAGCAUUCAGUUUGGGCACUCUUA
rnacentral:rRNA from 1 species